GGCUGCCCGCCGCCCUCACACCUUUGCUCUCCCGGCCGCCUGGUUUCCCCCGGCUUGGGGGGAACCCCCUGUGCAGCCGCGCUGCCAGUGUGUCCGAGAGUCCGGUGCGCUGGGACUGAGGAUGGGCGAAGGGACCUGCCCAUUUCGUUGGUGCCCGGGAGAGAAGGAGCUGCUAGGCUAGGGGUACAGGUGGGACUCGAACCCAGGUGUGUCGGCCCUUAGCUGUGGUUAUUACCCUUACUGCCAUCAGCAUACCUUCUACCUGCGGGGUCCAGGGCUUAGAGGGGGCGUGCAUUUCUUGUUUCAUUCCCCUGGCAGACCUGGGGGAUGGGUGUCUCCAGAUUGCAGCGGGGGAAACUGAGGCUCAGAGAGGCAGGGAUGGUAAGAAGCCGAAUUGCGAGACCAGAGCUUGCGUGCCUCGCCUGCAUUUACUUUGAGGGCUCAGCAGUUCAUCCGGGAGACCCAGCAGGACCCACGAGGUAACCUUCUGUGCAUAACUUGGUUGGAUGGAAUUUUCUUUUUGCCUCCCCAUCCCGUUAGUUUUUCUUCCCACGUGAGAAUUUCUGGGAGAAAAGGCAGGAUGCUUUGGUGAGAAAUGCGGCCAAAGCAAUUGAAAGUUUGUUCGGACGUCCGGUUUGAGCAUUUGGGUUUUUAGAAGGGGUGCGCAUAACCUCACAGCGUAAUCAGGGGCGAUCCGGUUUAUGCUGUUGCUCUGAUGUAGUUAUUAAUAAAAGCUCCUUUUUUGACUCCCAAGGGUCAAGCUCAAAAAUAAAAUAUAUUAACGAAUAGCAAAUAAAUGAACUGUGUGGUCACCCUAGUUAAAUGGGAUUGGUGGGAGAGCUGAGUAAAGUGAAGAUUAGAGAACGGUACCCCACCUCUUACCUUAGGCAAACAGAGAGGCUGAGAGUUGUGAGCCUCUUAUAUUGACUGGGAUGUGUUGGUGACAUGCAUGAACUAAGUGCUUCAGGGACUUGUGUUUUCUGCAGCCUCACAGAUAUUUUCUUGUGGUCACAUGUUGUUCCUUCUCUGUCUGGUGCACCACUGAGUGUUAUAGUAAUCUUGGACUCAGAUCUCUGCCUUUCUCUCUGACCCAGUGCUUAAAUACCAGUUGUAUGCUCUUGAUAUCCCAAUCUAUAACUUUAGCCUAGACCUAUACAGAAACCCUCAGUUCUUCUAUCCACCUGCCUACUGGACAUCUUCUUGAAUAUGUCGUAGGCUUCUCAUCCUUGGCCAGAACAGAACUUUUGAUUCUCCACCACCGACACUUCCUCUCCAGUCUUCCCAGGCUCAAUUAGUGGAAUUACUCUUCACCAGGUGGGACUACCUUCGUCUCUUAUCUGGACUCCUGCAGUAGCUCACCAGCAGAUGCCGUCUGCUCUGCGAUCUUCCCUACAACCCCCCCGCAGCCUCUCGAACACGAAGAAACACUUUCACGGUCGCCUCUCUCUAUCCCUGCCCAUCAACUCCUGGCAACCACUAGUCAACUUUCUAUCUCUACAGAUUUGCUGUUCUGGACGUGUCAUGUAGAUGGAAUCAUACAACGUGUAUUCUUCUAUGUCUGGCUUCUUUCAGUUCGAAGCCAGUGACUUUAAGGUUUAUCCAUGUUGUAUACAUUAGUACUUCAUUUUUAUGUGUGAAUAAUAGUCUGUUCCAAAGACAACAGAACAUUAUUCACAGUUUAGAUAUCCGUCUUAUUUGGAAAUAUGUUUUCAGUUCUCUUAGGUAUGGUCCUCGGAGUGGACUUGAUGGGCCGCACGGUAACUCCAUCUUUAACUUUUUGAGGAACUGCCAGACUGUUUUCCAAAGUGGCUGCAUCAUUUGCAAUGACCUUUUAAGAAACUACACUUGUCCCCCCCCCCAAAAAAAAGAAACUACACCUGUCAAGUUUUGACGUAGUACUAAAGAAGAUUAUCUGUAAUUAUUUGACAACACCAUUAAACUAUCCCUCCCAUUUCCAAAGACACAUCUGCGGGAGGUAGAUUUUCUUCAUAUGCUUCAACCCAAACAACAUAUUGCAACAGAUUGACUGCAGAGGGUGAUGUGAGAACCCAGGUGUCUUCCAUUCUGCCAGACAUUAAAAGGGUUUGCAGAAACGUAAAAGCAUCUUCUCACCAAAUUUCUUUUUUGUUUUGAAGAUUUUUUUCAUAGACCAAAAACAAACAAACAAAAACCUGUUGACAUGUAAUAGGUUCAUUGUUAUUUUUAAAUGAAUAGAUAAUUUAAAGUAAUUUAAGAAUUUAUUUUUUUAAUUUCCGAUAUGAUAACUAUCAAUAGCCAUGAUCCUCAUGAACCACCAUAUCGAGAUUCUCCGUGUAAAGAAUAUAAAGGGUUCUCGGGACCCACCUCGGAGCCCAUUCUGGCUGAUGCCGUCCUAUAUGCACUUGAGUUUGCUUCUCUUGCUCUCUGCUCCCUGCAGUUCUGGUCGCUGGCACUCCUGUGCGACACGAGGCGAGUGUGCUUUGUUUUGCCUGGCCUCAGGUUUGUCACUUGUGGAACAGAGAUGCGGUAUAGAAUAUAUGGGGCGGGGGCGUGUGUGUUGGGACUGAAUUGAGAAGAGGCCACGAAAAAUUGUAAAGCUCGGUAUGGUCCCAAGCUCUGCCUCAAGUGAGAUCCUGAACUCGUGGAGCAAAUGCAGCUGCUGUUUUGCCGAGAGAAUAGCUGAUUAUCCUCUAUUGCUUUGAAUUCCUCUUUUCUGUGGUUUUCACGUUAAUUAAUGCUUUGGGGGAUAGUUUAAAUUGUAGCGAUAGAGAUGGGAGCUCAGGAGAAAUUAGUGACAAUGGUGGGAAUGCCAUUGGGGGAGAGGACUGGGUGCCGAGUGACUUGGGUGUGUUUAACAAAUGUUCAGUGAACCCCAGCUGUGCUCUAGGUGCUGUCUGCUAGGUGAUGAAGAUGGAGGGCGGGGUGGUAAGGCACAAAGCAGGCAAGGUCUUAUUCUCCGAGAGCCUGUAUUCUGCCAGGGAAUAAGGGAGCAGAAAUGGCAAAUGGCCAGAAAUGUUGCAGGCUUAUGAUAUGAAGAGAAAAAAAACAAGAUGUGGUAGAGCAACAAGGUGGGCCUAACCCUGUGGGGCAUUUGAGCUGAGACGGAAGGAUCCUUAGAGGUCCUCUUAUGUAAAUAAAUUUCUCCUAAUGUUCCAGUAGAGCAGUUCCUGAAAGUCCCGGGCUGUGUGCAUAACUCUUUGAAAAUAUGUUAACAUCUUUAGCUUUAACGUAAUUAAGUAUGUAAGUUGCAGUAGACUAAGAGUGUAAGUUCGAUACUUCUGAAGUGUCAUACAUCCUAAGAGCUGCUAAUCUGUUUUUGUUUUGUUGUUCACUGAUUAUCAAGAUAUAAAUAUUUUUCAGAAAGUUUGUCAAGUACUGCCCAGGGUAGAGGAGGAAAACAAUGACCUGUAAUUUCAUCAACCAUGGGACAUUGAUCUCAUUUGACCAUUAUGAUAACCUCUGAAAAACAGGACAGUUGUUGAAGUACUCCUUUUUAAUUCAGGCUAAGUAACAUAUGUUAGUAAUAAAAGCAUUACAGUAACUCCUUAUAAUUUA